rnacentral:rRNA from 1 species
UGAGGAAUAUUGGUCAAUGGGCGCGAGCCUGAACCAGCCAAGUCGCGGGAGGGACGACGGUCCUACGGAUUGUAAACCUGUUGAGGCGGGGAGUAAUGUGCUCUACGAGUAGAGAAGUGAGAGUAACCGCAGAAUAAGCAUCGGCUAAAUGCGUGCCAGCAGCAGCGGUAAUAGGGAGGAUGCGAGCGUUAUCGGGAUGUAUGGGGUUUAAAGGGUGCGCAGGCUGUGCAUCAAGUCAGCGGUAAAAUCUCGGGGCUCAACCCCUUUUCGCCGUUUAAACUGUUGUGCUGGAGUGUGCGCGAGGAGGUCGUAAUGCUCGGUGUAGCGGUGAAAUGCAUGUAUAUUGCGCAGAUCUCCGCUUGCGAAGGCGCCCUUCCCGUGCAUGACUCACGCUGAGGCACGCAAGCGUGUGUAUCGAACAGG